UAGGAAUGAAAUCGCCACUGUAAGAUUGC
rnacentral:piRNA from 1 species